UGUAGGUAACGUCAAGGUAUCGGGGUAUUGGCCCGUUACUGUUUCCUCCCUACUGAAAGUGCUUUACAACCCGCAGGCCUUCUUCACACACGCGGCAUUGCUGCAUCAGGCUUUCGCCCAUUGUGCAAUAUUC
rnacentral:rRNA from 1 species